GAAUGAGAUUCGGUAUCAGGGCGUAAAACCCCUCUGCCGUUACCCUCCACCCUUGUGUAUCAUUCAAUUGUUGCUUUGGCAGGCCGCGAGCCUUUACGGUGAGCACCGGCUUCGGCUGGAGAGUGCCUGCCAGAGGACCCCAACUCUGUAUUUUAGAACAUCUGAGUACUAUACAAUAGUUA
rnacentral:misc_RNA from 1 species